GAAGUAGAAUAAUAGAUUGAACUUCUAAUUCAAUUUCCUAGUGGUGUAAUUCCAUUAAUACUUCU
rnacentral:tRNA from 1 species